rnacentral:misc_RNA from 1 species
GAUGAAGAACGUAGCGAAAUGCGAUAAGUGGUGUGAAUUGCAGAAUUCAGUGAAUCAUCGAAUCUUUGAACGCACAUUGCGCCCCUUGGUAUUCCAUGGGGCAUGCCUGUUCGAGCGUCAUUUGUACCUUCAAGCUUUGCUUGGUGUUGGGUGUUUGUCUCGCCUUUGCGUGUAGACUCGCCUUAAAAUAAUUGGCAGCCGGCGUAUUGAUUUCGGAGCGCAGUACAUCUCGCGCUUUGCACUCAUAACGACAGCGUCCAAAAGUACAUUUUACACUCUUGACCUCGGAUCAGGUAGGGAUACCCGCUGAACUUAAGCAUAUCAAUAAGCGGAGGA